rnacentral:rRNA from 1 species
UACGUAGGUGGCGAGCGUUAUCCGGAAUUAUUGGGCGUAAAGAGCUCGUAGGCGGUUUGUCACGUCGUCUGUGAAAUCCUCCAGCUUAACUGGGGGCGUGCAGGCGAUACGGGCAGACUUGAGUACUACAGGGGAGACUGGAAUUCCUGGUGUAGCGGUGAAAUGCGCAGAUAUCAGGAGGAACACCGGUGGCGAAGGCGGGUCUCUGGGUAGUAACUGACGCUGAGGAGCGAAAGCAUGGGUAGCGAACAGGAUUAGAUACCCCGGUAGU